AGCAGUUCAACAGGCGAGCGACGCGACGCGUCGUCAGCAAAUUAAACUCGUGUUAAGAAAUGUGUCUAUGCAAUGUAUUUUGCUCUAAAGUUAAUUCGAGCAUCACAAUAUACGAGUGAGUACUCGUAUAAUAUGAAACGUUGGAAGAACGGAACGGAACGUGCGGUUUAUUAAUUUAAAACUUGAUCAAGUCGUUAAGAUUUUGAUCACGCAGAUGAAAGAUAUGGUUUCGGUGACGUAAUCUGUAAUCCAAUGAUAAUCGCACGCCUCACUCGCCAGUCAAACGAGCAACGAUGUAAGAAGGUAACUUGUGUUGUAGAAUACCUACAUUCUCGUACAGUUCUGGAAUACUUUUAAAUCAAUUUUUGAAAAUGAAAAUGGUCAAACAUUUUUUUCUACACAUUUUAGGUGAUCAUAAACCAAAAAAAGUUCAUCAGGCCUCAGAUGAAGAAUUUUUUUGAAAUACAAAUAAGAUGUACAAACAGAUACCCCAUUUUAAGGAGUGUAAUAUUUCUUACAUUUUCAAUACAACGGCAUAGAAUCAUGCAGGAUAUUGACAAGCACGAGCUUGGGCCUGGGUGCGAAAGAGUUGUUGGAUUUCACAUACAUUUUUGCACGCUGUCCUAUUUUCAAAACAGUAUAAAUUGGAUAAAAGUUUCACAGAGCCAAUUUCAACUAGUUACACUCGAGUAGGUAAGUACAUCUACAUACAUUACAAAUUUUGAAAUUACAAUAAAUCAACACUUCAAUUUGUAGGUAACAACGAUAUGUAUUUAAAAUAGAUUUUUUAAUUUAUAUCACAUGAAUGAAAUGCCUUAUUCUUACUAUAAAAAAUUAAUAGGUAAUUUGAGCUAUUAAAAAUACACAGAAGAAACAAAAUUAUAUGUAUGUAUAUGAAGGAAAUAAUUAUGAGGAGUCAAACAGAACAUGUAUCGACAAAGUUUACACGCAGAGGAGAAACCGUUAUAAAAUGAAUUCAUCGUUGAAAAAGAAAAAGAAAAAAAAACGAAAAUGAAAAAGUAAGUAUCAUUAAAAUUAACGAACAUAUACAAAAAAACUCCUUAUAUUUAAAUAUUUGAUUUUUCGAAGUAUAAUCAUGUGAACCCUAAAAUAUAAAACCGAAUA